rnacentral:rRNA from 1 species
UGGGGAAUAUUGCACAAUGGGCGCAAGCCUGAUGCAGCGACGCCGCGUGAGGGAUGACGGCCUUCGGGUUGUAAACCUCUGUUAGCAUCGAAGAAGCGAAAGUGACGGUAGGUGCAGAGAAAGCGCCGGCUAACUACGUGCCAGCAGCCGCGGUAAUACGUAGGGCGCGAGCGUUGUCCGGAAUUAUUGGGCGUAAAGAGCUUGUAGGCGGUUGGUCGCGUCUGCUGUGAAAGGCUGGGGCUUAACCCUGGUUUUGCAGUGGGUACGGGCUAACUAAAGUGCAGUAGGGGAGACUGGAAUUCCUGGUGUAGCGGUGGAAUGCGCAGAUAUCAGGAGGAACACCGAUGGCGAAGGCAGGUCUCUGGGCUGUAACUGACGCUGAGAAGCGAAAGCAUGGGGAGCGAACAGGAUUAGAUACCCUGGUAGUCCAUGCCGUAAACGUUGGGCACUAGGUGUGGGGGACAUUCCACGUUUUCCGCGCCGUAGCUAACGCAUUAAGUGCCCCGCCUGGGGAGUACGGCCGCAAGGCUA